UCUUUCACCUCUGACCUCUCCCAUACACCACGCGACCUCGAGCUCUACGGCCAGCUAGGAAGGACCUCGCGUCCGAGUGCUGCGCCCAGGCCCACAAAGCCGGCCAUCUGGGUGAGGCCGUGCAGGGCAGGGAUUGGGAAGGAGAGACAUUAGCUCUAGCCAGAUGGGCCGCCCGUGCCUCCAUGACGCCGGCCUCCCUCGUGGUCCUUCAUUACCCCACGCUUCGAGCUCCACUGCCGCCCUCUCCUUUCAUCUCCUCUUCGCCACCACGUGGAUGGGGAUGGUACCCUCAAUCACCACCACCGUCGACGGCGUGCUCUGCAUCCCUCAUCGACCCAUCGAGUCGCCCUCCCCUUGGGUCCGACCGGCUUGGUUCUAGCGGCGGCGCAAGCUCCAGCCGUGCAAUGGGAAGUGAAGCAAGGUGGGCACGUACAGAUCAAUCAGCAACUCCUUGUCGUGUGGCUACAUCGCCGGCGGUGGUCGGCCGAGUUCAGCUCGCUGCAGUGGCAAGGAGCCGACGGAGGAGCAGGUGGGAGGAGAAGGUGCCGGUGGUGGUUUCGAUCAAUGGGAGGACGCCGCCACCACGGAUCUAAUCCCCAUUCCUCUCCACCAUCGGUGGCCAUGUGCAUGUGUCUCGCAGGAUCCAGCUUCUAUUCACAAUGCAUUUACUGAUUACUCUAAUGCUUUGCUUCAUAUCCAAAGCCUAUCAUCAGACUUAAUUUGCCUUGCACAACUAGGUGAAGAAACUUGAAUCUGUGUCAUCAAGAGGAAUAGAUAAGGAGAGGGCGAGGUAUCAGAAGGUUGAAGAACUGAAAGAAACAAUAAGAACAACAGAAGACGCAAAAAAUCAUUCACGCAAAGAGUAUAAGCUUAUUAAGGUAUCCUGCUUUUCAAGUAUGCGGUGCUGUAGUGAACUAGUGAUUGAUUCAUGUGUGGAUUAGUUUACCUCUUUCUAAGGCUGGCAUAACUGGAUGCGAGAAGACAAAUGGUAAUCUUCUGUACGCAGGAUGUCACAUGUUCUACAAUCUUUGGUGUUUCAGGAUCGUUUGGACAAGUUUACAGAGGAGAAUGACAUGGAACAGUAAGUAUUUCAGUUUAAAUGUGCUCUUAUAGUGUUGAAAUUUAUUAAUUAGUUCCUUGGCGCGGAACACCUCUUAGAUCAUUGUAAUCAGACGGUUUAUAUACUAUUUUUCUGAGUAUUAGAUUCAAGCACUAACUCUGUUCAAAGUUCAGCUACAAUAAUCAAAUCUUCAAGGAUGGUUCUGUCGUCUUGAUAAUUUUUCAGCAAAACUGUAUCCCACUACUCGGUGUAUUAUCAUUGGCUUUUGUCAUUACGAUCCCAUGUCUUCAUGAACCCUACACAUUGUAAUGCCUUCCAGAUUUCAAUCCAUACCGGUUACAUUACCAGGUCUAUUCUUAUCUAAUUUUUAUAGCUCGCUCGUCUUGCUGAGAUGGAGGUGAAGUGUCGAUUAAAGUUCUGGAAAUUGGCCUCCCACUGGGAGGAAUUGCAAAGUUGUUUGCUUAGGAUUUUCUCAUGAUUGUUGAUUAGAACGAACAUAAUUGUCCAUUGUCCUGCUCUCAUUAGGUAUGUCGUUUCAAUGAAAGUACAUCUGCAUCCUGUUCAUUUUCCAAUCCACUUUCAACAGACAGUUUGCAUUAUCUGCUCUGUUUUUGGAGCUGGAGCAAGGAAUUAAUUCUGUUUUAUCUCUCAUCUUUUCUUAUGCUGUGAAUCUGAAGUAUUUCUUGCUAUGUCACUUAUGAUUAAGAACCCUGUACAACUAGAUCUUGCACUGUCGCCCUUGGAUAUUGGGAAGUCUGAAGAAGCCUAUGGUUUAGGGUUCUUGCGAAUCAUGCUGGUCGUUCAGCGCGUCUGGGCAUUGGAGUGGGCCAACUACCUGACGACAGGCAAGAUGGAGAUGCUCUCUGAGCAGCAGUUGCUGCGACCAUGAGCUGAGUAAGAGCCAGCAACCUCAAGGAACAAUAACCAUUCAAGAUUAAUGCACAUUUGGUUUGCCGUGGCCUGGGCGUCAUAAAAAAUGGCAAGGACGUCACUGAGGCUGCCUUGGAUGCUCUUGCCAACCAGUUGAAGGAGUAGCUGAAGCUGCAGGACAUUGUCGCGCUCCGGGAAAUCUUCAGGCUCGAUGACGAGCAGGCCAUGGCGAUCAAGCAGGGUGCCCUUGUCAACCUUGGAGUUGUUGAUGCUCUAGAUCAUGAAAGAGAGAGUAUUCAGGCCACUGAUGUGUAAGCUCCCUUCUGUUUAUACAUGACCUGUUGGGGAAGAUUAACUCUAAUGACAGCACAAUGCACUUGUUCUUGUUGUUGCUGGCCGUGAAGGCCUGUAGGGUGUUUUGGGCUGUUGUUUUCCCCUUUUGAGUUUGCUCGGGGGGAAGAGCUUGCUA